UAAGAAAGGAGCAGUAUGGUCCCUGCCAGUUCUCUGUUUCUUUGAGAAAGUCAGUCUGCUCUAGAUAGCUCACCAUGGCCUGGUUUCUGUCCUUCAUUGCAUUUCUCAGCUACUUCUCUGGUAAGGAUGUAGAGGACUCGCUUUCCAUAGAUCUAAUUCCCAACAACAAAACUAUUUAUAUUGUACGUAGAUCUUAGUGCCUGUCUGAUAUAUUUAAGCACCCUAAGUGAAUCGAGACAAUGGUUUUCAUUUCUUUUUUACACAGGUGUCAUUUCACAGUCUCCUAUGACUCAAGCAGCCUCUGAGUCUGUGUCCGUUGGACAAACCAUUAAGCUUUCCUGCACCCCCAAUGGUAAAGUGAGCUACAUUGCUUGGUAUCAACAGAGACCUGGACUGGGCCCUCGCUAUGUGCACCAAAAUGGCCAAAACCGAGGUGAGGGCAUCCCGGAUCGAUUCACCGCUUCCCUCUCUGGGAAUGUUGGCUAUUUAACCAUCACCAGCACUCAGGCUGAAGAUGAGGCUGCUUAUUAUUGUGGCACAUGGUAUAGCAGCAUUAAUGCGUUC